rnacentral:rRNA from 1 species
ACAUACGACCAUACCCAUUUGAAAACUCGGGAUCCCGUCCGCUCUCCCAUAGAUAAGCCAAUGAGGGCCAGGUUAGUAGUUGGGCCGGUGACGACCAGCGAAUAUCUGGCGUUGUAUGUU